rnacentral:rRNA from 1 species
UACGUAGGUCCCGAGCGUUGUCCGGAUUUAUUGGGCGUAAAGCGAGCGCAGGUGGUUUAUUAAGUCUGGUGUAAAAGGCAGUGGCUCAACCAUUGUAUGCAUUGGAAACUGGUAGACUUGAGUGCAGGAGAGGAGAGUGGAAUUCCAUGUGUAGCGGUGAAAUGCGUAGAUAUAUGGAGGAACACCGGUGGCGAAGGCGGCCUGCUGGACUGUGACUGACGUUGAGGCCCGAAGGCGUGGGGAGCAAACAGG